rnacentral:rRNA from 10 species
ACGGCCUUACCACCAUGGACGCGCCCGAUCGCGUCUGAUCUUGGAAGCUAAGCAUGGUCGGGCCUGGUUAGUACUUGGAUGGGAGUCAGCCUGGGAAUACCAGGUGCUGUAAUUG